rnacentral:rRNA from 1 species
GCUGCAACUCGCCUGCAUGAAGCUGGAAUUGCUAGUAAUCGCGGAUCAGCAAGCCGCGGUGAAUACGUUCCCGGGCCUUGUACACACCGCCCGUCACACCAUGAGAGUCGGGAACACCCGAAGUCCGUAGUCUAACCGCAAGGGGGGCGCGGCCGAAGGUGGGUCCGGUAAUUGGGGUGAAGUCGUAACAAGGUACC